CAGCCGCCGCGGGAAUACGUAGGGUGCAUGCGUUAAUCGGAAUUACUAGGCGUAAAGCGUGCGCAGGCGGUUAUAUAAGACAGAUGUGAAAUCCCCGGGCUCAACCUGGGAACUGCAUUUGUGACUGUAUAGCUAGAGUACGGCAGAGGGGGAUGGAAUUCCGCGUGUAGCAGUGAAAUGCGUAGAUAUGCGGAGGAACACCGAUGGCGAAGGCAAUCCCCUGGGCCUGUACUGACGCUCAUGCACGAAAGCGUGGGGAGCAAACAGGAUUAGAUACCCGUGUAGUCCCUGUCUCUUAUAC
rnacentral:rRNA from 1 species